GAGCGGCAGACGGGUGAGUAACGCGUGGGAACAUGCCCUUCGGUACGGAAUAGCCCCGGGAAACUGGGUGUAAUACCGUAUACGUCCUCAGGGAGAAAGAUUUAUCGCCGAAGGAUUGGCCCGCGUUAGAUUAGGUAGUUGGUGGGGUAAAAGCCUACCAAGCCUACGAUCUAUAGCUGGUUUGAGAGGAUGAUCAGCCACACUGGGACUGAGACACGGCCCAGACUCCUACGGGAGGCAGCAGUGAGGAAUCUUGGACAAUGGGCGAAAGCCUGAUCCAGCCAUGCCGCGUGAAUGAUGAAGGCCUUAGGGUUGUAAAAUUCUUUCAGCAGGGAAGAUAAUGACGGUACCUGCAAAAGAAGCCCCGGCUAACUCCGUGCCAGCAGCCGCGGUAAUACGGAGGGGGCUAGCGUUGUUCGGAAUUACUGGGCGUAAAGCGCGCGUAGGCGGAUUAGUCAGUCAGAGGUGAAAUCCCAGGGCUCAACCCUGGAACUGCCUUUGAUACUGCUAGUCUUGAGUUCGAGAGAGGUGAGUGGAAUUCCGAGUGUAGAGGUGAAAUUCGUAGAUAUUCGGAGGAACACCAGUGGCGAAGGCGGCUCACUGGCUCGAUACUGACGCUGAGGUGCGAAAGCG
rnacentral:rRNA from 1 species